UGGUAGUCCACGCUGUAAACGAUGUCGAUUUAGAGGUUGUGGUCUUGAACUGUGGCUUCUGGAGCUAACGCGUUAAAUCGACCGCCUGGGGAGUACGGCCGCAAGGUUAAAACUCAAAUGAAUUGACGGGGGCCCGCACAAGCGGUGGAGCAUGUGGUUUAAUUCGAUGCAACGCGAAGAACCUUACCUACUCUUGACAUCCAGCGAAUCCUUUAGAGAUAGAGGAGUGCCUUCGGGAACGCUGAGACAGGUGCUGCAUGGCUGUCGUCAGCUCGUGUUGUGAAAUGUUGGGUUAAGUCCCGCAACGAGCGCAACCCUUAUCCUUUGUUGCCAGCACGUGAUGGUGGGAACUCAAAGGAGACUGCCGGUGAUAAACCGGAGGAAGGUGGGGAUGACGUCAAGUCAUCAUGGCCCUUACGAGUAGGGCUACACACGUGCUACAAUGGCAGAUACAAAGAGAAGCGACCUCGCGAGAGCAAGCGGAACUCAUAAAGUCUGUCGUAGUCCGGAUUGGAGUCUGCAACUCGACUCCAUGAAGUCGGAAUCGCUAGUAAUCGUAGAUCAGAAUGCUACGGUGAAUACGUUCCCGGGCCUUGUACACACCGCCCGUCACACCAUGGGAGUGGGUUGCAAAAGAAGUAGGUAGCUUAACCUGCGGGAGGGCGCUUACCACUUUGUGAUUCAUGACUGGGGUGAAGUCGUAACAAGGUAACCAAGGGCGAAUUCGCGGCC
rnacentral:rRNA from 1 species